rnacentral:rRNA from 1 species
GAACGUCCUCUUUUUCUUCGGAGAGAGAGGGAGUGGCGGACGGGUGAGUAACACAUGGGUGACCUACCCUUUGGUGAGGGGUACCGGCGAGAAAUCGCCGACAACCCCGCAUAGGCUGGCUCUGGUGGAGCGGAGACAGCAAAGUUUGUCGCAAGAGAGACGCCAAGGGAUGGGCCUGUGGCCGAUUAGCUAGUUGGUGGGGUAAGAGCCUACCAAGGCGACGAUCGGUAGCUGGUCUGAGAGGACGAACAGCCACACUGGGAUUGAGAACGGCCCAGACUCCUACGGGGGGCAGCAGUGAGGAAUUUUCCGCAAUGGGCGAGGAGCCUGACGGAGCAACGCCGCGUGCAGGAGGACGCUUUUCGGAGUGUAAACUGCUUUUCUGUGGGACGAGAGUGGACGGUACCACAGGAAGAAGCCCCGGCUAACUACGUG